CCUACGGGAGGCUGCAGUGGGGAAUAUUGGGCAAUGGGCGCAAGCCUGACCCAGCAACGCCGCGUGCAGGAAGACGGCUUUCGGGUUGUAAACUUCUUUUCUGAGGGACGAAGAAAGUGACGGUACCUCAGGAAUAAGCCACGGCUAACUACGUGCCAGCAGCCGCGGUAAUCCGUAGGUGGCAAGCGUUAUCCGGAUUUAUUGGGUGUAAAGGGCGUGUAGGCGGGAAAGCAAGUCAGAUGUGAAAACGCAGGGCUCAACCAUGGGCCUGGCGUUGACACUGGUUUUCUUGCGGGCGGGGGAGGCAAGCGGAAUUCCGUGUGGAGCGGUGAAAUGCGUAGAUAUACGGAAGAACACCAGUGGCGAAGGCAGAUUGCUGGACAGUAACUGACGCUGAGGCGCGAAAGCGUGGGGAGCAAACAGGAUUAGAUACCCUUGUAGUC
rnacentral:rRNA from 1 species